CCGGAGCUUGCUCUGGUGGAUUAGUGGCGAACGGGUGAGUAACACGUGAGUAACCUGCCCUUGACUCUGGAAUAAGCGUUGGAAACGACGUCUAAUACCGGAUACGAGCUUCCGCCGCAUGGUGAGGAGCUGGAAAGAAUUUCGGUCAAGGAUGGACUCGCGGCCUAUCAGGUAGUUGGUGAGGUAAUGGCUCACCAAGCCUACGACGGGUAGCCGGCCUGAGAGGGUGACCGGCCACACUGGAACUGAGACACGGUCCAGACUCCUACGGGAGGCAGCAGUGGGGAAUAUUGCACAAUGGGCGCAAGCCUGAUGCAGCAACGCCGCGUGAGGGACGACGGCCUUCGGGUUGUAAACCUCUUUUAGUAGGGAAGAAGCGAAAGUGACGGUACCUGCAGAAAAAGCACCGGCUAACUACGUGCCAGCAGCCGCGGUAAUACGUAGGGUGCAAGCGUUAUCCGGAAUUAUUGGGCGUAAAGAGCUCGUAGGCGGUUUGUCGCGUCUGCUGUGAAAACUGGGGGCUCAACCCCCAGCCUGCAGUGGGUACGGGCAGACUAGAGUGCGGUAGGGGAGAUUGGAAUUCCUGGUGUAGCGGUGGAAUGCGCAGAUAUCAGGAGGAACACCGAUGGCGAAGGCAGAUCUCUGGGCCGUAACUGACGCUGAGGAGCGAAAGCAUGGGGAGCGAACAGGAUUAGAUACCCUGGUAGUCCAUGCCGUAAACGUUGGGAACUAGAUGUAGGGGCCAUUCCACGGUUUCUGUGUCGCAGCUAACGCAUUAAGUUCCCCGCCUGGGGAGUACGGCCGCAAGGCUAAAACUCAAAGGAAUUGA
rnacentral:rRNA from 1 species